UGCAUCAGUCUCCUCCAGCUCUAAAGAACUCGACCCCGAGUUCUCAUUUUGAUAAAGAGCUUCCCAUUCAUGUUGACUCCUCCAAUGAACAAGAGACCACCCUCCUGAAUCACAUUGAGUGAAAUGCAAAGAAGGGGUUAUGGAUACCAACUGUGAUUCUAAUUCCUUAGUACAUGUUUGGUUAUCCAGUGGGAAAGGGGAAACGCAUGUCUGUCUUCCUCAAAAGCGCUUUGACGUUGUUUGGCUCUCCUUCACUCUUCCGCCGUCGCCGCAAGUUUGCAUCAUCAUAAUCGAUUUUCAAUGAAGCUGCAAUUCCUAGCUUCUAAAAAUCAAUUUUCACAACCGUAGGUUUGUUUUCCCCCAAUUUCUCUUUUUUACCCUUGAUUCUCAACUAACUUCUCACCUUACAUCAUAACUCAUGUUUAUCUGAAUUUUCAAAAGUUGUUUAUCUGAAUUUUACAAAGCUGUUUUUUUCUCCUAUAUCAUAACUUCUUGCUUAUCUGAAUCCUAAUCUCCUGUCAAACAACAUUGAAGAGAAAGAUCAAAAUCAAUCGGUUAACCUACCUCAAAACUUCUUUAUAUAUGUUGCCUCAUCUCUCGCCCUUUUCAUUCUCUCAAGCACGCAAGAAAAGGAAAUUAAGCAAAGUUCCAAAUAGCAGCAGUGUUGGAUAGCUCAAGGUGCUGUUCCUGGCCUGCUAACCUGCUACGGCUGGGGGUAGUUUUUUGGCCAAGGGUCUGGUUGGUUUUUGUUGUCUCUGUAGUUGCUUUCUAGACUUUCUAGGCUUUUUUUAUGUUAACUGGACUGCCUCUUCCUUCUGGUGUUUCGGUUUGCAGACAUCAGUUGGGCAAACAUGUUUAAGGUGCACUCAAGUUUCAAUAUUUCAUCGUCUUCAAUAAUGAGGUUCAAGUGGUUAUUGCAACAAUGGACACAACUUUAUUAGAAUGAAUGCUGAUAUGGAUGUUGAUUUCAGUCGGUAUGAGGAUGAAGACAUAACCCUUGAUCGCGAUGAUUAUCGUAGACCAGUUAAUUUGAAUUUAUCUCAAAAUUUAAAUAUAGCUUCUGCAUUUAAGAUGAAUCAUGUUCGAGACUCGGUUCGAGAUCAAAUUAUAGAGUUCAAGAAAAAUAAUUAGUAUUGUAUUAAUGUUUCAAACUUGCACUACACUUUAUAUUAUA